rnacentral:lncRNA from 1 species
CGGACUGGCGCCGCCAACCAACUCAUCCACAACGUUUCAGGGCUGAGGGUUCACAUUCACCAACCCCAAGCAACAACAAUGGCCCCCGACAACCAACUCGUCCUCAGGUGCACAGGGUGGUGCGCUCACCCUCACAAGUGCAACCUCAAUAUCAGACGGUGAAGCCAAAAGGCCCCUCAGAAGUGCAACCUCAAUAUCAGACGGUGAAGCCAAAAGGCCCCUCACAAGUGCAACCUCAAUUUCAGACUAUGAACCCAAAAAGCCAUCCCAACAGGGCAACCUUUAAAAAACCUCCUCUGCAGACAUACGAAGAUCAACGGCAGCAAAUAUGGAGACCA